GACGAAGGAUGCAAGCGUUAUCCGGAUUCAUUGGGUUUAAAGGGUGCGUAGGUGGCCCUGUAAGUCAGUGGUGAAAUAUCUCAGCUUAACUGAGAGGGUGCCAUUGAUACUGCAGGGCUUGAGUACAGAUGAGGUAGGCGGAAUUGACGGUGUAGCGGUGAAAUGCAUAGAUAUCGUCAAGAACACCGAUAGCGAAGGCAGCUUACCAAGCUGUAACUGACACUGAGGCACGAAAGCGUGGGGAUCAAACAGG
rnacentral:rRNA from 1 species